rnacentral:rRNA from 1 species
CCCUUGGCCUUGACAUACUAAGAACUUUCCAGAGAUGGAUUGGUGCCUUCGGGAACUUAGAUACAGGUGCUGCAUGGCUGCCGUCAGCUCGUGUCGUGAGAUGUUGGGUUAAGUCCGCAACGAGCGCAACCCUUUUCCUUAUUUGCCAGCGGGUAAUGCCGGGAACUUUAAGGAUACUGCCAGUGACAAACUGGAGGAAGGCGGGGACGACGUCAAGUCAUCAUGGCCCUUACGGCCAGGGCUACACACGUGCUACAAUGGUCGGUACAAAGGGUUGCUACCUCGCGAGAGGAUGCUAAUCUCAAAAAGCCGAUCGUAGUCCGGAUCGCAGUCUGCAACUCGACUGCGUGAAGUCGGAAUCGCUAGUAAUCGCGGAUCAGAAUGCCGCGGUGAAUACGUUCCCGGGCCUUGUACACACCGCCCGUCACACCAUGGGAGUUUGUUGCACCAGAAGUAGGUAGUCUAACCGCAAGGAGGACGCUUACCACGGUGUGGCCGAUGACUGGGGUGAAGUCGUAACAAGGUAAGCGUAGAUGA